rnacentral:rRNA from 1 species
CAGCAGCCACGGUAAAACGUAGGGUGCAAGCGUUAAUCGGAAUUACUGGGCGUAAAGCGUGCGCAGGCGGUUAUAUAAGACAGAUGUGAAAUCCCCGGGCUCAACCUGGGAACUGCAUUUGUGACUGUAUAGCUAGAGUACGGCAGAGGGGGAUGGAAUUCCGCGUGUAGCAGUGAAAUGCGUAGAUAUGCGGAGGAACACCGAUGGCGAAGGCAAUCCCCUGGGCCUGUACUGACGCUCAGGUGCGAAAGCGUGGGGAGCAAACAGGAUUAGAUACCCGUGUAGUCCCUGUCUCUUAUAA